GGCUCAGGACGAACGCUGGCGGCGUGCCUAAUACAUGCAAGUCGAACGAACUCUGGUAUUGAUUGGUGCUUGCAUCAUGAUUUACAUUUGAGUGAGUGGCGAACUGGUGAGUAACACGUGGGAAACCUGCCCAGAAGCGGGGGAUAACACCUGGAAACAGAUGCUAAUACCGCAUAACAACUUGGACCGCAUGGUCCGAGCUUGAAAGAUGGCUUCGGCUAUCACUUUUGGAUGGUCCCGCGGCGUAUUAGCUAGAUGGUGGGGUAACGGCUCACCAUGGCAAUGAUACGUAGCCGACCUGAGAGGGUAAUCGGCCACAUUGGGACUGAGACACGGCCCAAACUCCUACGGGAGGCAGCAGUAGGGAAUCUUCCACAAUGGACGAAAGUCUGAUGGAGCAACGCCGCGUGAGUGAAGAAGGGUUUCGGCUCGUAAAACUCUGUUGUUAAAGAAGAACAUAUCUGAGAGUAACUGUUCAGGUAUUGACGGUAUUUAACCAGAAAGCCACGGCUAACUACGUGCCAGCAGCCGCGGUAAUACGUAGGUGGCAAGCGUUGUCCGGAUUUAUUGGGCGUAAAGCGAGCGCAGGCGGUUUUUUAAGUCUGAUGUGAAAGCCUUCGGCUCAACCGAAGAAGUGCAUCGGAAACUGGGAAACUUGAGUGCAGAAGAGGACAGUGGAACUCCAUGUGUAGCGGUGAAAUGCGUAGAUAUAUGGAAGAACACCAGUGGCGAAGGCGGCUGUCUGGUCUGUAACUGACGCUGAGGCUCGAAAGUAUGGGUAGCAAACAGGAUUAGAUACCCUGGUAGUCCAUACCGUAAACGAUGAAUGCUAAGUGUUGGAGGGUUUCCGCCCUUCAGUGCUGCAGCUAACGCAUUAAGCAUUCCGCCUGGGGAGUACGGCCGCAAGGCUGAAACUCAAAGGAAUUGACGGGGGCCCGCACAAGCGGUGGAGCAUGUGGUUUAAUUCGAAGCUACGCGAAGAACCUUACCAGGUCUUGACAUACUAUGCAAAUCUAAGAGAUUAGACGUUCCCUUCGGGGACAUGGAUACAGGUGGUGCAUGGUUGUCGUCAGCUCGUGUCGUGAGAUGUUGGGUUAAGUCCCGCAACGAGCGCAACCCUUAUUAUCAGUUGCCAGCAUUAAGUUGGGCACUCUGGUGAGACUGCCGGUGACAAACCGGAGGAAGGUGGGGAUGACGUCAAAUCAUCAUGCCCCUUAUGACCUGGGCUACACACGUGCUACAAUGGAUGGUACAACGAGUUGCGAACUCGCGAGAGUAAGCUAAUCUCUUAAAGCCAUUCUCAGUUCGGAUUGUAGGCUGCAACUCGCCUACAUGAAGUCGGAAUCGCUAGUAAUCGCGGAUCAGCAUGCCGCGGUGAAUACGUUCCCGGGCCUUGUACACACCGCCCGUCACACCAUGAGAGUUUGUAACACCCAAAGUCGGUGGGGUAACCUUUUAGGAACCAGCCGCCUAAGGUGGGACAGAUGAUUAGGGUGAAGUCGUA
rnacentral:rRNA from 1 species